rnacentral:miRNA from 1 species
CAGUGCAAUGGUAAAAGGGCAU